GACGAACGCUGGCGGCGUGCCUAACACAUGCAAGUCGAACGAGACCUUCGGGUCUAGGUGCGCACGUGUGCGUAACACGUGGGAACCUGCCCUUAGGUUCGGAAUAACUCCCCGAAAGGGGUGCUAAUACCGGAUAAUGUCUUCGGACCAACGAUUUAUCGCCUUUGGAUGGGCCCGCGUUGGAUUAGCUAGUUGGUAGGGUAAAAGCCUACCAAGGCGACGAUCCAUAGCUGGUCUGAGAGGAUGAUCAGCCACACUGGGACUGAGACACGGCCCAGACUCCUACGGGAGGCAGCAGUGGGGAAUAUUGGACAAUGGGCGAAAGCCUGAUCCAGCAAUGCGGCGUGAGUGAUGAAGGCCUUAGGGUUGUAAAGCUCUUUUACCCGGGAUGAUAAUGACAGUACCGGGAGAAUAAGCUCCGGCUAACUCCGUG
rnacentral:rRNA from 1 species